rnacentral:rRNA from 1 species
UACGUAGGGAGCAAGCGUUGUCCGGAAUCAUUGGGCGUAAAGCGCGUGUAGGCGGUUACAUAAGUCUGUUGUGGAAAGUCGGAGGCUCAACCUUCGAAAGCCGAUGGAUACUGUGUGACUUGAGUACGGAAGAGGAGAGUGGAAUUCCUGGUGUAGCGGUGAAAUGCGCAGAUAAUCAGGAGGAACACCAACGGCGAAGGCAGCUCUCUGGGACGUUACUGGACGCUGAGACGCGAAAGCGUGGGGAGCAAACAGG